rnacentral:rRNA from 1 species
GUCCACGCCGUAAACGAUGGAUACUAGCUGUUCGGCGCAAGUUGAGUGGCUAAGCGAAAGUGAUAAGUAUCCCACCUGGGGAGUACGCACGCAAGUGUGAAACUCAAAGGAAUUGACGGGGGCCCCGCACAAGCGGUGGAGCAUGUGGUUUAAUUCGAUGAUACGCGAGGAACCUUACCAGGGCUUAAAUGUAGAUUGACAGGUCUGGAAACAGACUUUUCUUCGGACAAUUUACAAGGUGCUGCAUGGUUGUCGU